UACGUAGGGCGCAAGCGUUAUCCGGAAUUAUUGGGCGUAAAGAGCUCGUAGGCGGUUUGUCGCGUCUGCCGUGAAAGUCCGGGGCUCAACUCCGGAUCUGCGGUGGGUACGGGCAGACUAGAGUGAUGUAGGGGAGACUGGAAUUCCUGGUGUAGCGGUGAAAUGCGCAGAUAUCAGGAGGAACACCGAUGGCGAAGGCAGGUCUCUGGGGAUGAGCUGACGCUGAGACACGAAAGCCAGGGGAGCAAACGGG
rnacentral:rRNA from 1 species